GACGAACGCUGGCGGCGUGCUUAACACAUGCAAGUCGAGCGGUAAGGCCUUUCGGGGUACACGAGCGGCGAACGGGUGAGUAACACGUGGGUGAUCUGCCCUGCACUUCGGGAUAAGCCUGGGAGACUGGGUCUAAUACCGGAUAUGACCUCCUAUCGCAUGGUGGGUGGUGGAAAGAUUUAUCGGUGCAGGAUGGGCCCGCGGCCUAUCAGCUUGUUGGUGGGGUAAUGGCCUACCAAGGCGACGACGGGUAGCCGACCUGAGAGGGUGACCGGCCACACUGGGACUGAGACACGGCCCAGACUCCUACGGGAGGCAGCAGUGGGGAAUAUUGCACAAUGGGCGAAAGCCUGAUGCAGCGACGCCGCGUGAGGGAUGACGGCCUUCGGGUUGUAAACCUCUUUCAGCAGGGACGAAGCGCAAGUGACGGUACCUGCAGAAGAAGCACCGGCUAACUACGUG
rnacentral:rRNA from 1 species